CCUACGGGAGACAGCAGUGAGGAAUAUUGGUCAAUGGCCGUAAGGCUGAACCAGCCAAGUCGCGUGAAGGAAGAAGGAUCUAUGGUUUGUAACCUUCUUUUUUAGGGGAAUAAAGGUAUCCACGUUUAGAUAUUAGCCUGUACUCUAUGAAUAAGCAUCGGCUAACUCCGUGCCAGGAGCCGCGGUAAUACGGAGGGUGCUAGCGUUAUCCGGAUUGAUUGGGUUUAAAGGGGGCGUAGGUUGUUUUUUAAGUCAGCGGUGAAAGUUUGUGGCUCAACCAUAAUAUUGCCGUUGAAACUGGAAGACUUGAGUGUGUUAGAGGUAGGCGGAAUGCGUGGUGUAGCGGUGAAAUGCAUAGAUAUGAGGCAGAACUCCGAUUGCGAAGGCAGCUUACUAAGCCAUAACUGACACUGAAGCACGAAAGCGUGGGGAUCAAACAGGAUUAGAUACCCCUGUAGUC
rnacentral:rRNA from 1 species